rnacentral:rRNA from 1 species
CCUACGGGAGGCAGCAGUGGGGAAUAUUGCGCAAUGGGCGAAAGCCUGACGCAGCGACGCCGCGUGAGGGAUGAAGGUCUUCGGAUCGUAAACCUCUGUCAGCAGGGAAGAACGGUCACUGUGCUAAUCAGCAGUGAAUUGACGGUACCUGCAAAGGAAGCACCGGCUAACUCCGUGCCAGCAGCCGCGGUAAUACGGAGGGUGCGAGCGUUGAUCGGAAUUACUGGGCGUAAAGCGCUCGUAGGCGGUAUGUCAAGUCAAGGGUGACAUCCCCGCGCUCAACGUGGGAACUGCCUUUGAAACUGGCAACCUGGAGUGUGUGAGAGGAUAGUGGAAUUCCAGGUGUAGGAGUGAAAUCCUUAGAUAUCUGGAGGAACAUCAGUGGCGAAGGCGACUAUCUGGCACAUAACUGACGCUGAGGCGCGAAAGCGUGGGUAGCAAACAGGAUUAGAUACCCUUGUAGUC